rnacentral:snRNA from 1 species
GGCACUUACUCAACAUAUGGUUC